rnacentral:rRNA from 1 species
AUACGUAUGUCGCAAGCGUUAUCCGGAUUUAUUGGGCGUAAAGCGCGUCUAGGCGGCUUAGUAAGUCUGAUGUGAAAAUGCGGGGCUCAACCCCGUAUUGCGUUGGAAAAUGCUAAACUAGAGUACUGGAGAGGUAGGCGGCACUCCAAGUGUAGAGGGGAAAUUCGUAGAUAUUUGUAGGAAUGCAGAUGGGGAAGCCAGCCUACUGGACAGAUACUGACGCUAAAGCGCGAAAGCGUGGGGAGCAAACAGGAUUAGAUACCCUGGUAGUCCACGCCGUAAACGAUGAUUACUAGGUGUUGGGGGUCGAACCUCAGCGCCCAAGCUAACGCGAUAAGUAAUCCGCCUGGGGAGUACGUACGCAAGGAUGAAACUCAAAGGAAUUGGCGGGG